GGGGAUUUAGCUCAGCUGCAAAAGCCCCUGCCUUGAAAGCAGGCAGUUGUGAGUUCGAUUCCCAGUUCCGG
rfam:Cavia porcellus supercont2_29 genomic scaffold, whole genome shotgun sequence.